rnacentral:rRNA from 1 species
GAUGAACGCUGGCGGCGUGCCUAAUACAUGCAAGUCGAGCGAAUGGAUUAAGAGCUUGCUCUUAUGAAGUUAGCGGCGGACGGGUGAGUAACACGUGGGUAACCUGCCCAUAAGACUGGGAUAACUCAGGGAAACCGGGGCUAAUACCGGAUAACAUUUUGAACCGCAUGGUUCGAAAUUGAAAGGCGGCUUCGGCUGUCACUUUUGGAUGGACCCGCGUCGCAUGAGCUAGUUGGUGAGGUAACGGCUCACCAAGGCAACGAUGCGUAGCCGACCGGAGAGGGUGAUCGGCCACACUGGGACUGAGACACGGCCCAGACUCCUACGGGAGGCAGCAGUAGGGAAUCUUCCGCAAUGGACGAAAGUCUGACGGAGCAACGCCGCGUGAGUGAUGAAGGCUUUCGGGUCGUAAAACUCUGUUGUUAGGGAAGAACAAGUGCUAGUUGAAUAAGCUGGCACCUUGACGGUACCUAACCAGAAAGCCACGGCUAACUACGUGCCAGCCGCCGCAGUAA